AGGGCACCACCAGGAGUGGAGCCUGUGGCUUAAUUUGACUCAACACGGGGAAACUCACCAGGCCCGGACACCAGAAGGAUUGACAGAUUGAUAGCUCUUUCUUGAUUUGGUGGUUGGUGGUGCAUGGCCGUUCUUAGUUGGUGGAGUGAUCUGUCUGGUUAAUUCCGAUAACGAACGAGACUCUGUCCUGCUAAAUAGAUCCAGCCUUUCUUUUGGGUUGGACUCGCUUCUUAGAGGGACUGGCGAUGACUAGUCGCACGAGAUUGAGCAAUAACAGGUCUGUGAUGCCCUUAGAUGSUCUGGGCCGCACACGCGCUGCACUGAAUUGAUCAGCUAGUUUUUCCCUUUCCGAGAGGAAUGGGUAAACUGUUGAACCCAAUUCGUGGUAGGGAUUAGAGCUUGCAAUUGUUCUCUAUGAACCAGGAAUUCCCAGUAAGCGCGAGUCAUCAGCUCGCGUUGAUUACGUCCCUGUCCUUUGUACACACCGCCCGUCGCUACUACCGAUUGAAUGUUUUAGUG
rnacentral:rRNA from 1 species